UACGUAGGGUGCGAGCGUUAAUCGGAAUUACUGGGCGUAAAGCGUGCGCAGGCGGUUCGUUGUGUCGGCGGUGAAAGCCCCGGGCUUAACCUGGGAAUGGCCGUUGAAACUGGCGAACUGGAGUGUGGCAGAGGGGGGUGGAAUUCCGCGUGUAGCAGUGAAAUGCGUAGAUAUGUGGAGGAACACCGAUGGCGAAGGCAGCCCCCCUGGGUCAAAACUGACGCUCAUGCACGAAAGCGUGGGGAGCAAACAGG
rnacentral:rRNA from 1 species